CAUCUGCCGCUGCCCACAGCAGAGCCUGGCUGGCAUGUCGGCUCUCCUUCCCACCGGUGACACCUGAGAAAAGCCCUCGCUUGGAGAAGCAGGCAUCAGGUUCUGCAGGGGAAAGCGGGGCAAUAAGCACAGCCCUGAUGCUCAAUCAGCAGAGCAGUGACGUAACUACAUCCCAUGCACUGUGCAGAUCACCGUGCUCCCUGAACUCCUUCCAGGGUGCUGGUGUGAGGACCUUGGUGAGACACUGCAUGUGGCAGGUCACUCAGCUCCUUAACAGCAGGCCCCAGCUUAUUAAGAAUGGAAGCAAGAAUUACUGUCUUACUGAAGAUCAUCACAACAUCAUGUUUCUGAUUUUGGAGAAGGACUCUCUGGUGAUCUGGGGAUAGCUGGUAUCAGUGAGAAACAAAACACCAUCAGGCAGUUCUCCACGUUUUUUCAACAGAAGGGCUUGAGAAACUUGUAGGGAAAGACUACACUUCUCUAAAUGCCUGUUGUUAUGAUAUGACCUUAUUUUAGUACCAUCCAAAGUCCUUUGAUUUAUAGUGAGAAGACAGAACCACUUACUUUGUAAAGGACAAAUAAAAUCGGGAAAAUUUAAGCUCCUUUUCCUGUGUCCUAAAAGGACUGACCCAUGUGUUGCCAUUUACUCCUGUUGAGUUACUCCUUAUUGUGCAGCUCACCUUGAAUGAAGAAUAGAUUGAUUUUUAACAGUGGCUAUUUAUUUUGGGGACCGUCAUCCUCAUUUGCUUCACAGAGAUAGCCUGAAAGAUCUCACACAAAAGAAAAACAAGAAAAAAAAUAAACAAGAAAAAGAAAAAAAAAAAAAAACAGGGAAAAAAAACCCACACAACCUGCCAUUGGAAACCAAGACUCUUCAGAGCUGUUCAAAGGAGAAAGAAACCUCUUGCCUGCGUGUUCAACAGCUAUGGGAUUCUCAAGCUAUGAAGUUAUGAAUUGUUACAUGCCCAGUGAUCCCCAGCAGUAAGGCAAUGUGCAGAAAGAGGUGUUUCAAUAUGUUAGAUUAAAAUUUGAGACUGAAAUAGAACUCAAAAAAUAUUGAUAUUCAAAAGAAAACAAUCAGAGAUGCCAGCUACAGUCUUAGUGAUCUCAUGUAUUCACUCCCUCCAAUUUGAAGGCAACUUUUCCCUGAUAGUGAGCAUGUCAUCAAAGCCUUGAGGAUACUUUAUAUCUGCCUGGAGGAACCUACAGGAAAUCCAUGUAGGGAAGAGGCAUGCACGAGGCGUGUGACUUAGGUGCCAGACCAAGAGAAAUUUUUAAACCUGUUCUGCCCUUUGCCCAAAACAUUAAUAUUGUAUUUUCUUGAGUCUCCAAAAUAUUCUAUCUCAAAUUUUGAUUUUAAAAAUAAUAAAUAAAUAAAUAAAUAAAUAAAUAAAUAAAUCUUUGAAAUAUUCUUUUUCACAAUAGAGGAGGUAAAAGCUCCAAUCCCAACACAGUUGCUUACUGCCCUAUACAAACAUAAUAAAUCUACCCUCCAAAAGAUACCUCAGCAUAUUAAGAAGGCCUCUUCAGGUAUAAAAACUAAUAU